rfam:Triticum aestivum genome assembly, contig: Triticum_aestivum_CS42_TGACv1_scaffold_129459_2BL
CAACUACUCCCUCUGUCCCAAAUUUCUUGCCUUAGAUUUGUCUAGAUACGGAUGUAUCUAAUACUAAAAUGUGACUUGAAACAUCCGUAUCUAGACAAAUCUAAGACAAGAAUUUUGGGACGGAGGGAGUACUUU